CAAUUUAAACAACGAAGAGUUUGAUCCUGGCUCAGGAUGAACGCUAGCGACAGGCUUAACACAUGCAAGUCGAGGGGCAGCGGGGGUAGCAAUACCCGCCGGCGACCGGCGCACGGGUGAGUAACGCGUAUGCAACUUACCUAUCAGAGGGGGAUAACCCGGCGAAAGUCGGACUAAUACCGCAUGAAGCAGGGAUCCCGCAUGGGAAUAUUUGCUAAAGAUUCAUCGCUGAUAGAUAGGCAUGCGUUCCAUUAGGCAGUUGGCGGGGUAACGGCCCACCAAACCGACGAUGGAUAGGGGUUCUGAGAGGAAGGUCCCCCACAUUGGUACUGAGACACGGACCAAACUCCUACGGGAGGCAGCAGUGAGGAAUAUUGGUCAAUGGCCGAGAGGCUGAACCAGCCAAGUCGCGUGAGGGAUGAAGGUUCUAUGGAUCGUAAACCUCUUUUAUAAGGGAAUAAAGUGCGGGACGUGUCCCGUUUUGUAUGUACCUUAUGAAUAAGGAUCGGCUAACUCCGUGCCAGCAGCCGCGGUAAUACGGAGGAUCCGAGCGUUAUCCGGAUUUAUUGGGUUUAAAGGGUGCGUAGGCGGCCUUUUAAGUCAGCGGUGAAAGUCUGUGGCUCAACCAUAGAAUUGCCGUUGAAACUGGGGGGCUUGAGUAUGUUUGAGGCAGGCGGAAUGCGUGGUGUAGCGGUGAAAUGCAUAGAUAUCACGCAGAACCCCGAUUGCGAAGGCAGCCUGCCAAGCCAUGACUGACGCUGAUGCACGAAAGCGUGGGGAUCAAACAGGAUUAGAUACCCUGGUAGUCCACGCAGUAAACGAUGAUCACUAGCUGUUUGCGAUACACUGUAAGCGGCACAGCGAAAGCGUUAAGUGAUCCACCUGGGGAGUACGCCGGCAACGGUGAAACUCAAAGGAAUUGACGGGGGCCCGCACAAGCGGAGGAACAUGUGGUUUAAUUCGAUGAUACGCGAGGAACCUUACCCGGGUUUGAACGCAUUCGGACCGAGGUGGAAACACCUUUUCUAGCAAUAGCCGUUUGCGAGGUGCUGCAUGGUUGUCGUCAGCUCGUGCCGUGAGGUGUCGGCUUAAGUGCCAUAACGAGCGCAACCCUUGCCACUAGUUACUAACAGGUAAAGCUGAGGACUCUGGUGGGACUGCCAGCGUAAGCUGCGAGGAAGGCGGGGAUGACGUCAAAUCAGCACGGCCCUUACAUCCGGGGCGACACACGUGUUACAAUGGCGUGGACAAAGGGAAGCCACCUGGCGACAGGGAGCGAAUCCCCAAACCACGUCUCAGUUCGGAUCGGAGUCUGCAACCCGACUCCGUGAAGCUGGAUUCGCUAGUAAUCGCGCAUCAGCCAUGGCGCGGUGAAUACGUUCCCGGGCCUUGUACACACCGCCCGUCAAGCCAUGGGAGCCGGGGGUACCUGAAGUCCGUAACCGCGAGGAUCGGCCUAGGGUAAAACUGGUGACUGGGGCUAAGUCGUAACAAGGUAGCCGUACCGGAAGGUGCGGCUGGAACACCUCCUUUCUGGAGC
rnacentral:rRNA from 1 species